rnacentral:rRNA from 1 species
UUGACGGGGACCCGCACAAGCAGCGGAGCGUGUGGUUUAAUUCGUUGCUACACGAAGAACCUUACCUGGGUUUGACAUAUAAGUUGUAGGGAACUGAAAAGGGACGACCCUUCGGGGAGCUUAUACAGGUGUUGCAUGGCUGUCGUCAGCUCGUGUCGUGAGAUGUUCGGUUAAGUCCGCUAACGAGCGCAACCCUCGCCGUAUGUUACAAGUGUCAUACGGGACUGCCGGUAAAAGCCGGAGGGAGGUGAGGAUGAUGUCAAGUCAGCAUGACCUUUAUAUCCAGGGCUACACACACGCUACAAUGGUCUGUACAAUUGGUUGCCAAGCCGCGAGGCGGAGCCAAUCCGUAAAGCAGGCCUCAGUUCAGAUUGCAGUCUGCAACUCGACUGCAUGAAGCCGGAGUUGCUAGUAACCGCAGGUCAGCAAUACUGCGGUGAAUACGUUCCCGGGUCUU